AUACUAGCAUUUCCCUAGUGUGGCUCCUCUGCCCUCACCCCUGCUGGCCCCACUCCAUUCCAUUCCUGCCCCCCACCUCCAUCCCACCAACUGCCACUUUACCCACCAUUCCCCCAUCCGCUCUCCAUGCCCCUAUUCCUGAAGCCCUCUGGUGCUUGUGUCCUGAGAUCCUGAGGUUGUCCUUGUGUUUGCUCCUGUCCUAGGCAGACACCUGAAUCUGGUUCUUCUUGUGCCCUACUUCUGAGGACUGCACACCCAGACCAAGGAAGAAAACUUUCAUAAAGAUGACAAGCACUCUUCACCUGAAACUCACAGGCACGCAAAGGGAGUGGGUUUUUGGAUACUCAAGGGUGCCUUCAUGUUCUGACAGCCAGACUCUGACCAGGACCACCAGUCUUCACAGAGGUAGAGGAGAGAGCUGACUACAAACCUGCCCUACUGUGCACCUUGGUCAAGGUUCUUCCACCCUUAAUUUGCUGCCUUUGGCUCCUUGCUGUCCGGCUCUUCCACACAUGAUAGGCAUUCAGGUUGCUUUGUGUCUUCUUUGCUCUCUCAGGAACUCUUUCCUCUUGGCCUCGUACGUCUCUUGCAGGCUGAAGGGCUGGCUGUCGCCAUCACUGACCUGGAAGCCCAUCUCCUCCAGCUUGCAGCGCCGGUAGAGCUCCUAGUGCCGACUGUGGGUCUGCUCGCGGAGGUCCUCCAUGUUCACCCGGAUCAGCAUCUCCUGGAGCUUCACGAAGUUGCAGUGGUUCUCGUUCUCCACCUGCACCACUCCUCAAGGGUACUGCCGCGCUCGGACCAGCUUGUUGCCCACCUUCACCUCCUCGGUGCUGCCCACCACAGCGAAGGGCAGGUGUGCGUUCAUGACUGCGUUAAUCUCUGCGACGGCCUUGUCCUCAGUGGGAAACUGGUAGAUCUGGACCCCGUUGCUGACCAACUCGCCCAUGAUCUUGAUCUUGAACUUGUGGAGCUCGCUUUUGGAGAUAGUGUCAGCCUUGGCAGUGAUGGGAAUUAUGUUCACCUUGCUGUCCAGCUUCUUCAUGGUAACCAGGUCCAAGGACUUCAGGGAGUGCCCAGUGGGCGUGAUGAAGUAGAGGCACACAUGGAUCCUUGUGUCAUGGUAGUCGAAGAGCGAGCGGCGGAUCUUCAGCUCCUCCUGCAGAUAGUUUUCAAACUGUGCAUCGAUGUAGUCGACUAUGGACCUGUCGUCCUUGUUGAUCUGGUCCCCGAAGCCCACAGCGUCCACAAUGGUCAGCCUGAGGUGCACGUUGCUCUCCUGGAGGUCGUAAGUCUGAGGCCGCAGGCGCACGCACCCCUCGUGGUGACUGGCUUCCUCAGUCUCAAAGGUGGUGUUGAAGAGCGUGUUCAUCAGUGUGGACUUGCCAAUGCCUGUCUCGCCCACACAGAGGAUGUUGAAGCUGAAGCCCUGAGUGAUGGACUUGCUGACCAGCUGGUCAGGGAGGCUGUCAAAGCCCACAUGGCCACCCAGGGAGAGGCUCCAGGGCUCGGACUCCAUACUCGAGGGCCACUCCAGCUCGGUGGCCACCAUGCUGCUCGGGCACAGCGGGCCGGGACGAGCCGUGGGGGACGCGCUCGCCGGCGCCGCACUGAAUAGAUCUCUAACUUUAUAAAUUUAGUUAAAAUGAAAAAGUAUUUUUAC
rnacentral:lncRNA from 1 species